UGCUGGGAUUACAGGUGUGAGCCACCAUGCUCAGCCAGAGACUUAUUUUCUCAUGGUUCCGGAAGCCAGAUAUCUGAACGCAAGGAGUCACCAGGGUUUGUUUUUUUCUGAGACCUCUCUCCUUGGCUUGCAGAUUGCUCUCCUCCUGCUGUGUUCACAAAAGGCUUUUUCUCUGUGCUGCGUCUCUGCUGUCUCUUUCUCAACAUUAAUCCUAUUAGACUAGUGCCCAAUCUUAUCACCUUUAACCGAAAUUACCUCUUUAAAGGUUGUGGCACCAAAUAUUAUCAUAUUGAGGUUUACAGCUUCAAAUACGGAUGGGGGCACAAUUCAGCCCACAGCAAUAUAUCCAUCCGUGUGGGUUUCUGCUGCAUACACUCCGGGGGUUCUGCUUCUGCUUACAACCUCCAGGGAUUUAUUUCCUGGCUCCCAAUGUCAACCUUGAAUAUCAGGAGUUUGCAGCCACCACUGUGGUUUUAUUUAGUGAUCUAUUAUGGAUCUACUAUCCAUUAAUUCUUAAAUUCUUUGAAGCUCUUUAUACUGUCAGCUAGUGUUUCCUCUUGGGUAAUAAGUUUGACAUGUUGUUUUUUUCUAGAGGAAAAUGGUGGCUAGGAGGCAGGACUAAAUUGCAACUCCCACUUGGAUGGAAAAAGCAGCAUGUGGAGACUCACAUCGCGAACUUUUGCUCCAAGAACUACCACAGGAAAAUACCAAGAGAGCCAAGAGAAUCCACAGACACUUUGAAGGAAGCAGAUUGCUCCUGCAGGCUCCAGGAGGCAGCCCCCAAACUAGCCCUAUCUACCUUCUCAACAUUAACACCCAGCAACCAGGAGAGGAGAGAGGCCUGGGGAAGACAGCCACCACCAAGUACACAAAGGUUGAAAGAGGACGUUUGUGGGAAGUAGACAUUUGUGAAUGUGGAUUUAGAAGAUUUUUCCCUGUGAUGAGCUGAGUCAUGGGUGAGAGCUGGAGAAAACAGAGCAACACAGGCAGCCCAGGGGCUGAGCAGGUCCUCCUACCUGAUCCAUCGCUCUGUCUGCAAGCUCUCCUGUCACAAGUGAGUGGCUGACAGCCUCCAGAAAACACCAGUCAGUUACACUGUGAUGUGCAGUCUGGCCAGGGCUCAGUGGAGAAGCCCACACUCAUUUAUCCAUCACUGAAUGUUGGUUGUGCCUCAGGAAACAGUCUGGUUGCCAGAUACAGACUGGCCAAGAAAAUGGACGUGAUUAGUCCUCUUUUGGUCCGUAUAAUGUGAAGACGGUCAUGUGAGCUAAUGUGUGCUGAGCAAAGGGAGGAUUUGGAUUCUUUUGCUUUAUCGGUCAAUCCUCUUCUCCCAUCAAAUCAAUGUGGAAAUCAACAGAGUCCCAAUGGCCUUCUUUGGUAAAGCCCUUGAUAGUUCUAUUUUUUAAGCAGUUUAAUAAAGAUCACAAUGAAUGAGAUUGCAGGUAAUUAAUGAUUUAGUGAACUGUUUGCAGUACUAUUGAACAUGAGCUGCAGAAAUUAUGAAAUGGUAGGUUGGUCCUUCCCUACCUCUCUCCAACACCCCCGUCCCAUCACCUGAAAACCCUCACUCUGCUGUCUGUGAGCCAGUACGAGAGUUUGAGAGAUAGAUUUUCAGAGCCUCAUUUUCUGCCCUUUGAAUGGCGAAAAAGCAUUUUCUUUAAAUUGAAUACUUGCAAGCCUCAUCUCAUUGAAGUUUUUGGAUGAGAAGCUCCGGUUAAGCUUAAAUUAUUAUGGCCUUCACAUUGUUUCCUAAACCAACUGCUUUAACUCAGGGUGGAAAAUGCAUCUACAUUUCUUUUUCUUUCUUUCCAUUUCUAAUUAGAUUUUGAGUUUAAUAAUGAAUUAAGUUUAAUAGGUCCUGAGCCCUAGAGGCAGCCUUUUUGAAUUUCGCUUACUUUUGUUUGAACUGGAGUAGCCAUGCAUC
rnacentral:lncRNA from 1 species